GAUGAAGAACGUAGCGAAAUGCGAUAAGUAAUGCGAAUUGCAGAAUUCAGUGAGUCAUCGAAUCUUUGAACGCACAUUGCGCCCGCCAGUAUUCUGGCGGGCAUGCCUGUUCGAGCGUCAUUUCAACCAUCAAGCCCCCGGCUUGUGUUGGGGACCUGCGGCUGCCGCAGGCCCUGAAAAGCAGUGGCGGGCUCGCUGUCACACCGAGCGUAGUAGCAUACAUCUCGCUCUGGGCGUGCUGCGGGUUCCGGCCGUUAAACCACCUUCAUAACCCAAGGUUGACCUCGGAUCAGGUAGGAAGACCCGCUGAACUUAAGCAUAUCAAUAAGCGGAGGA
rnacentral:misc_RNA from 1 species